rnacentral:rRNA from 1 species
GAUGAACGCUGGCGGCGUGCCUAAUACAUGCAAGUCGAGCGAAUGGAUUAAGAGCUUGCUCUUAUGAAGUUAGCGGCGGACGGGUGAGUAACACGUGGGUAACCUGCCCAUAAGACUGGGAUAACUCCGGGAAACCGGGGCUAAUACCGGAUAACAUUUUGAACCGCAUGGUUCGAAAUUGAAAGUCGGCUUCGGCUGUCACUUAUGGAUGGACCCGCGUCGCAUUAGCUAGUUGGUGAGGUAACGGCUCACCAAGGCAAGGAUGCGGAGCCGACCUGAGAGGGUGAUCGGCCACACUGGGACUGAGACACGGCCCAGACUCCUACGGGAGGCAGCAGUAGGGAAUCUUCCGCAAUGGACGAAAGUCUGACGGAGCAACGCCGCGUGAGUGAUGAAGGCUUUCGGGUCGUAAAACUCUGUUGUUAGGGAAGAACAAGUGCUAGUUGAAUAAGCUGGCACCUUGACGGUACCUAACCAGAAAGCCACGGCUAACUACGUGCCAGCCGCCGCCGUAA